GAUGAACGCUGGCGGCGUGCCUAAUACAUGCAAGUCGAGCGAACGGACGAGAAGCUUGCUUCUCUGAUGUUAGCGGCGGACGGGUGAGUAACACGUGGAUAACCUACCUAUAAGACUGGGAUAACUUCGGGAAACCGGAGCUAAUACCGGAUAAUAUUUUGAACCGCAUGGUUCAAAAGUGAAAGACGGUCUUGCUGUCACUUAAAGAUGGAUCCGCGCUGCAUUAGCUAGUUGGUAGGGUAACGGCUUACCAAGGCAACGAUGCAUAGCCGACCUGAGAGGGUGAUCGGCCACACUGGAACUGAGACACGGUCCAGACUCCUACGGGAGGCAGCAGUAGGGAAUCUUCCGCAAUGGGCGAAAGCCUGACGGAGCAACGCCGCGUGAGUGAUGAAGGUCUUCGGAUCGUAAAACUCUGUUAUUAGGGAAGAACAUAUGUGUAAGUAACUGUGCACAUCUUGACGGUACCUAAUCAGAAAGCCACGGCUAGCUACGUG
rnacentral:rRNA from 1 species